rnacentral:lncRNA from 1 species
AUUUUGCUUUAUUAAAAUUCCUUAGUUUAAUUUUCUUCACCAACUCUUCCUUUUUAAAUAUUUUAUUUUUUUAAAAGAAAAACAACUGUACCCCAAUCCCUGUGGAUCGAUACCCGUAAUCACUAUCCUACCAGAUACGUGCUAUUGCGUGGUCUUUAAAGUUGACUAUCAAUUUUUGGCGCCGUUGCCGGGGAUUGUUAGUAUAGUUGUUUUUCUUUUCAU